rnacentral:rRNA from 1 species
AUUGAACGCUGGCGGCAGGCCUAACACAUGCAAGUCGAAUGGUAACAGGAAACAGCUUGCUGUUUCGCUGACGAGUGGCGGACGGGUGAGUAAUGUCUGGGAAACUGCCUGAUGGAGGGGGAUAACUACUGGAAACGGUAGCUAAUACCGCAUAACGUCGCAUGACCAAAGAGGGGGACCUUCGGGCCUCUUGCCAUCAGAUGUGCCCAGAUGGGAUUAGCUAGUAGGUGGGGUAACGGCUCACCUAGGCGACGAUCCCUAGCUGGUCUGAGAGGAUGACCAGCCACACUGGAACUGAGACACGGUCCAGACUCCUACGGGAGGCAGCAGUGGGGAAUAUUGCACAAUGGGCGCAAGCCUGAUGCAGCCAUGCCGCGUGUAUGAAGAAGGCCUUCGGGUUGUAAAGUACUUUCAGCGGGGAGGAAGGGAGUAAAGUUAAUACCUUUGCUCAUUGACGUUACCCGCAGAAGAAGCACCGGCUAACUCCGUG